rnacentral:rRNA from 1 species
UGCCAGCAGCCGCGGUAAUACGGAGGGAGUGAGCGUUAAUCGGAAUCACUGGGCGUAAAGCGUACGUAGGUGGCAAGGUCAGUCAGGCGUGAAAGCCCUCGGCUCAACCGAGGAAUUGCGUUUGAUACUGCUUUGCUAGAGUCUCGGAGAGGUUGGCGGAAUUCCAGGUGUAGGAGUGAAAUCCGUAGAUAUCUGGAGGAACACCAGUGGCGAAGGCGGCCAACUGGACCAAUACUGACGCUGAGAUGCGAAAGCGUGGGGAGCGAACAGGAUUAGAUA